rnacentral:rRNA from 1 species
GACGAACGCUGGCGGCGUGCUUAACACAUGCAAGUCGAACGAUGAACCCGGAGCUUGCUCCGGCGGAUUAGUGGCGAACGGGUGAGUAACACGUGAGUAACCUGCCCUUGACUCUGGGAUAACUGCGGGAAACUGUAGCUAAUACCGGAUACGACCCUCGGCGGCAUCGCCAGGGGGUGGAAAGAAUUUCGGUCAAGGAUGGACUCGCGGCCUAUCAGCUAGUUGGUGAGGUAACGGCUCACCAAGGCGACGACGGGUAGCCGGCCUGGGAGGGGGACCGGCCACACUGGGACUGAGACACGGCCCAGACUCCUACGGGAGGCAGCAGUGGCGAAUAUUGCCCAAUGGGCGCAAGCCUGAUGCAGCAACGCCGCGUGAGGGGUGACGGCCUUCGGGUUGUAAACCUCUUUUAGUAGGGAAGAAGCGAAAGUGACGGUACCUGCAGAAAAAGCACCGGCUAACUACGUGCCAGCAGCCGCCGUAA